ACAACUGGCGAAAAGUCCUGCCCAUGCCGGAAAUCCCCGCCAAUCCCGCUCAGCCCGGAGACACCAAGACCGGCCUGUCACGCCGGAGGCCGCGGGUUCGAGUCCCGUC
rnacentral:tRNA from 1 species